GUAGGUGAACCUGCGGAAGGAUCAUUAACACGUUUUACCAAAAACGUUAAACUACCAUAUCAAAAACCAAUCGCGAACUAACGUAGGUGCAUUAAUGGUGUUCAGAUUAAGUUGUAUCUUGGCCAAAAGACUCAGAGUCGCAAGACUUUGUCUGCUUUGAGCUAUACCAAACGCAGAGGUGGGUGCUGCGGGCUCAAAUUGGAUUCCAAUCCUGGAGGUUUUUUGUUCUGAACAUCAGCACCGAUCAACCCCUUUUUUUACCCCACACUUUCUUUUACAAACCCCGAUCAUUACUAAGCUGCUUCGGCGGCGAAGUGUAUGAUAGUAACUAACUAUUUUUUCUUCUGGGAAAUGCUUUCUUCGGAAGGCACUCUCAGGUUUUGCUGGGCGGAUGGCGUAAUGCUAUCUUAGCUAUUGGCAAAAUAAAACAAACAAAGAACAACUCUUAGCAACGGAUAUCUUGGUUCCC
rnacentral:misc_RNA from 1 species